CGUGACAAAGCAUCUGCAAUAAUGUGGUAUUGUCCUUUAUUCCAUGAUACUUUGAACUAGUAAUGAUGAGGGUACCUUCUAAUCUUCUGUACUUUGGAGUUUUCCAUUUGGUUUAAUGAAAAUAGUGUAAAGAUAAAUAUGAUCGAUUAUUACUUCGAAGUGCAGUAGUCCACUGAGAUAAAUAUGACACUUUUUUAUGGCCCACUUAAUGGCAUCGGCUUCUAAUUCGAUCAUCGCAUAACUUGACUCUGUUUCAGUGAUAAAUGUAGAACCACAAUCAAUUAGUUUCCUUAUUUCUCCAUACCGCUGUAAUAAAUCGAAUCUGAGACCUUUGGUUCUUGAUGUGUCCGUCUCUAAACAUGUUUCUCUCAAAGGAUCAAGCAGUGCUAGGAUUGGUGGCUUAAGUAAAAUACUUUUUAUAUUAUCCAUCGCCUGGGAAUGAACUAACUCCAAUUUGAAUUCAUUCUUUGUCUUCAACAAGUCUCUCAAUGGUUCAGCCACUUUGCUCAUGUAAAAUGACCUUAUAAAUGACCUUAAUUCUGUUCUGUUUGUAGGAGUGGGAAGUUUAAGCUUAGGAUUCAAUUUAUUUUCGUUAAUAGAAAUUCUAUUCUUAUUAAUUUUGUAACCAACAAUUUCAAUUUCUUCUUUUGCAAAUUGAAAUUUCUCUAGACUUAAUGUGAUUCUAAAGUUCUUUUAUCUAUUUAGGAUUCAGUUUACGCUCUUAAUAUACUUCUCAAAAUCUUCAUUGUCAUCUAGAAUAUUAUCGACUACUUUAUGGACAGUUAAUAGGCCUUCCAGUGCUAUAUCAUACCGACUAUUGUACGCUUCUCCCAUAGAAGUAAAUUCCAUAGGAGCUCUCUUAAAUUAAUAUUUUCUGUAUGGAGAAAUAAAAGUUGUCAAUUUUGGGAUUUUCUCUUCUAGAGGUAUCUGCCAAUAACAAUGGACUGCGUCAAAUUUUGAGAAAAACUGGGAUUUCGGUUGGAUGUUAGAAACAGCUUCCUUUGGAAUUUUCAUAGGAUGAACUAAUCUCUUAAGAUGUACAAUAACUAUGGGUUGGCACCAAUAUAUUAUUUCAUGUUCUACUUUCAUGGUCACAUACUUUUUGACCAUAUCAUCCAGAAUGUUUUUCACCUGUCCACGAUAACAAAACUGUGCAGUGCAAAUGGCUUUGUAUUUUCCAAUAAUUUUAUUUCAUUGGUGGUUGUUCCUUUUUUUUAAAUUUAUGCUCGCAUGAGGACACACUUGAAAAUUCCUCUAUUAACUGAUUUUCCACUGCUUUAAUUUUACUAUCCAUUAUAGUUCCUAUCUUUUUGAUACCUAAUGCUUCAUCAAUCCAUUCUUGUUUCUUAGGUCAGGGAAAAUUUGGGUGGAAAAUACCCAAUCCAAUGCAUGCAUGCUGAGAGAUAAACAUAUCAUGUUGGCCAAUAUCUUUAACUAAAUACACGAUCUCUUUGUGCUGAUGAGUUCUGGGUCUAAAUAUCAAUUCAAUACCUCUUACCAUUUCCAAUCUCGAGCCGUUUACAACGACAAUUUUACGGGUGGCUGAUGAGUUUUCUGGUUUGCUUGAUGUUCCGACAUUAGGCCUCCUUUGCAGGACACGGUCUUCCAAAUGGAUGAGGAGUCUUGAAACUACACUUUCUACAAAGGUUUUCUUCACUUCUCCUCCAUGAUCACCCACGACUUUGAUUCCUCCUUCUAACAUGAUCUUCACUAUUUUUGUCAGCUCUCAAAGUACGAUUUAUACCCUUCAAAACUAGAGUGUUCAAAAAUGUAUCGAUUGCUUUUGGCUGUUUCAAGGAUCCUACACAUGUUAAUAGUGUCUUUCAGAUUGAGCUGUGGGUUUUUUUUUAAAAGCUAUUGAGAAACAUUUUCAUCUCUGACUCUGCAAGUGGUCAGAGUAGCCCACCAAUUUCAUUUCAUAGAUUUCAGCCUCUUCUGCUCACAUUUUUAGCUCGCAAUAAAAUUUAUCAAUUGUUUAGAAAAAUAGGAGGCAAAAAGUUUACAAUUUUAUUAUUUGUUUAUGAUGUGACUAUCUUAAUGAGUGAACAGUCAAUUGAGUCAGACUGGAAAUACCUCAAAAAAGUCCAUUAAACAUUUGAAGAAAUAUUGGGCUUGAAAAUUAAUGACGAACAGUCUUAAGUGAUGAGGAUUAUGGAAGCUCCAGAGAAACACUUCGAUGAGUCCUGUCUAUUAAAUGAAUUAUUAGGAAAUAUUAUCCCUA
rnacentral:lncRNA from 1 species